rnacentral:rRNA from 1 species
UUCCGGUUGAUCCCGCCGGACCCGACUGCUAUUUGGGUGAGAAUAAGCCAUGCGAGUUGAAUGGGAUACCUAAAGUUCCCAUAGCAAACUGCUCAGUAACACAUGAUCAACUUACCCUAUAGAGAAAAAUAACCUCGGGAAACUGAGGAUAAUGUUUCAUAAUUGAAUUGGCUUGGAAAAGUUUUUCAAUGAAAAGGAUAAAAAAAAUGGUUUUUAUCUGCUAUGGGAUAGGAUCGUGUUCGAUUAUGGUUGUUGGUGAGAUAAUGGCUCACCAAGCCGAUAAUCGAUAGGGGCCGUGAGAGCGGGAGCCCCGAGAUGGGUACUGAGACAACGACCCAGGCCUUACGAGGCGCAGCAGGCGCGGAACCUCCGCAAUACACGAAAGUGUGACGGGGUUACCCAAAGUGUUCAAUAGAACUGUGGUAGGUGAGUAAUGUUCCCUACUAGAAAGGAGAGGGCAAGGCUGGUGCCAGCCGCCGCGGUAAAACCAGCUCUUCAAGUGGUCGGGAUAAUUAUUGGGCUUAAAGUGUCCGUAGCCGGUUUAGUAAGUUCCUGGUAAAAUCGGGUAGCUUAACUAUCUGCAUGCUAGGAAUACUGCUAUACUAGAGGGCGGGAGAGGUCUGAGGUACUACAGGGGUAGGGGUGAAAUCUUAUAAUCCUUGUAGGACCACCAGUGGCGAAGGCGUCAGACUGGAACGCGCCUGACGGUGAGGGACGAAAGCCAGGGGAGCGAACCGGAUUAGAUACCCGGGUAGUCCUGGCCGUAAACGAUGCAUACUAGGUGAUGGUACGGCCAUGAGCCGUAUCAGUGCCGUAGGGAAACCGUUAAGUGUGCCGCCUGGGAAGUACGGUCGCAAGGCUAAAACUUAAAGGAAUUGGCGGGGGAGCACCACAAGGGGUGAAGCCUGCGGUUCAAUUGGAGUCAACGCCGGGAAUCACUAGUGCGGCCG